AGGGACGCUGACGUCUUGCACAGUGUGAGGAGUGAGGGACGGAUGCAGUUCCUAACCCCCUCCCACGGCGUGUGUCCCGUUCGCGGGUCUUCCUUCACAUAUAAGCCGGAGCCUGUCAAUCUGACGAUGCAGGACCAGAUCUACACAUGCGCAGAUGGGUAUGCAAAGUUUAGAAGACGUCGGAGAUAUUUGUAAGGAGUCACAUUUCUGUGCUGUGCCAACCAAUGGGAAACACGGAGCACACUUCAAAAUGUAGACAAAAUAAAUGCAGA